AAAUAAUAAUGGGCUUUUUUACCUUCUGCUUCGUAUUCGUUUCGAUCCUGUAGUUUUGCAGUUAUUAUUAAUUGGGUUUCGUCUCUCUGUCCUCUUUCCGUACGUUUGGGUGUUCCAAAGCUGGUCUCUAUGAAAAGGGUCAUCAAAUCUCGGUAAAAUUAAGGUAGAAUAAAUUUAUAAUAUUCUUUGCACGUGCAGGCAUACCUGUUUUACCGAAGUACUAAUUUUCACAUAUUUUUCAACUUUGAUGGAAAAAAGAAAGCGAUCUUACACCGACUUAUUGCCCAAAUAAACAUCACAUGGGAAAAUGCUAAACAGACAGCACAAAACAGAGUUAGAUGGAAGGCUCCCGAGAGGAAUAUGAAGGAAAAAAAAAAUAGUAUGAUCACUUAAUCGAAAGGUACUAAAAUUACCUUUCAUUAAAAAAAGUAUGAAAAUAUCUCAACUGGUUCAAGAGUUAUGAUUUUUGUAACCCUAAAGUAUUUAAAACGCCACUGUGCGUCGUCCUGCGCCUCAAAAAUGUCACGCUGUUCGCAUCAGUAUUAAUGUUUCCAGAAUUUUCCGCAGUCAUGGCAACAGCAAGAAAAAUAAAUUCGGUUAAUCCGUUAUUUGGCUUUGUACGCGCUGAAAUAUUACUCUUUUUGAAUAUGAAAACUUGCGUAACCAACAAAGGCACUUUUAUUAAUUUUGUCUGAAUAUUGCAGACACGAAUCGAAUUAAUAAAAGUCAAAGCUUUAAACAGCUUCGUAUGAUUUGUUUAUGGAAGUUAAAACGAGCAAGUCAGAGGGGUGCAACGACCCGCCGAAAUGCCACCCAAGACCGGAUGCGCCAACAAUAACAUCGAGAACGCUGAGCCAGCCCAGUAACGCAUUUCUCUUUAGCGAAAGCGAUGUGCAAGGGUAAGCGUAUUGCGAGGCGGGCAUGUGUGCGCUGGGUGACCGUCGAAGGCGUGAAGCUCCAGACGGCACGAGGCGCUGACUAACCCCUCUGCUGGAUCCGAUGCCUCUAACCGAAGCCUUGGCGGCCUUAAUAAAUUUGAUUUGUAUUUAGUUCGUAAUUGACCAGAAUUCAGAGCGGUUGGCUCUAAUAAAAGAACCAUUUAAUA